rnacentral:rRNA from 1 species
UACAGAGGUCCCAAGCGUUACUGAGAAUCACUGGGUUUAAAGGGUGCGUAGGUGGUCCGUUAAGUCAGUUGUGAAAUCCCCGGGCUCAACCCGGGAAAUGCUUCUGAUACUGGCGGACUUGAGGCCAGUAGGGGUCACUAGAACUGACGGUGGAGCGGUGAAAUGCGUUGAGAUCGGAAAGAACACCAACGGCGAAAGCACUCUGCUGGGCCGACACUGACACUGAGAGACGAAAGCUAGGGGAGCAAAUGGG